rnacentral:rRNA from 1 species
GACGAACGCUGGCGGCGUGCUUAACACAUGCAAGUCGAACGGUAAGGCCCUUCGGGGUACACGAGUGGCGAACGGGUGAGUAACACGUGGGUGAUCUGCCCUGCACUUCGGGAUAAGCCUGGGAAACUGGGUCUAAUACCGGAUAGGACUCCGGACUGCAUGGUCUGGGGUGGAAAGCUUUUGCGGUGUGGGAUGGGCCCGCGGGUCUAUCAGCUUGUUGGUGGGGUGAUGGCCUACCAAGGCGACGACGGGUAGCCGGCCUGAGAGGGUGACCGGCCGCACUGGGACUGAGAGACGGCCCGGACUCCUACGGGAGGCAGCAGUGGGGAAUAUUGCACAAUGGGCGCAAGCCUGAUGCAGCGACGCCGCGUGAGGGAUGACGGCCUUCGGGUUGUAAACCUCUUUCAGCAUCGACGAAGCGAAAGUGACGGUAGGUGCAGAAGAAGGACCGGCCAACUACGUGCCAGCCGCCGCCGUAA